UGGGGGAAUUUUUGGACAAUGGGCGAAAGCCUGAUCCAGCAAUGCCGCGUGUGUGAAGAAGGCCUUCGGGUUGUAAAGCACUUUUGUCCGGAAAGAAAUCCUCUGGGUUAAUACCUCGGGGGGAUGACGGUACCGGAAGAAUAAGCACCGGCUAACUACGUGCCAGCAGCCGCGGUAAUACGUAGGGUGCAAGCGUUAAUCGGAAUUACUGGGCGUAAAGCGUGCGCAGGCGGUUUUGUAAGACGGAUGUGAAAUCCCCCGGGCUUAACCUAGGAACUGCAUUCGUGACUGCAAGGCUAGAGUAUGGCAGAGGGGGGUAGAAUUCCACGUGUAGCAGUGAAAUGCGUAGAGAUGUGGAGGAAUACCGAUGGCGAAGGCAGCCCCCUGGGCCAAUACUGACGCUCAUGCACGAAAAGCGUGGGGAGCAAAACAGGAUUAGGAUAACCCUGGUAGUCCACGCCCUAAAACCGAUGUCAACUAGUUGUUGGGGAUUCAUUUCCUUAGUAACGUAGCUAACGCGUGAAGUUGACCGCCUGGGGAGUACGGUCGCAAGAUUAAAACUCAAAUGAAUUGAC
rnacentral:rRNA from 1 species